GUUCUCGUGGUGUAGUGGUUAUCACACAAGUCUAACACACUUGUGGUCCCCGGUUCGAUCCCGGGCGAGAACA